UGGGGAAUUUUGGACAAUGGGCGCAAGCCUGAUCCAGCAAUGCCGCGUGCAGGAAGAAGGCCUUCGGGUUGUAAACUGCUUUUGUACGGAACGAAACGGUCUGGGUUAAUACCCUGGGCUAAUGACGGUACCGUAAGAAUAAGCACCGGCUAACUACGUGCCAGCAGCCGCGGUAAUACGUAGGGUGCAAGCGUUAAUCGGAAUUACUGGGCGUAAAGCGUGCGCAGGCGGUUUUGUAAGACAGGCGUGAAAUCCCCGGGCUCAACCUGGGAAUGGCGCUUGUGACUGCACAGCUGGAGUGCGGCAGAGGGGGAUGGAAUUCCGCGUGUAGCAGUGAAAUGCGUAGAUAUGCGGAGGAACACCGAUGGCGAAGGCAAUCCCCUGGGCCUGCACUGACGCUCAUGCACGAAAGCGUGGGGAGCAAACAGGAUUAGAUACCCUGGUAGUCCACGCCCUAAACGAUGUCAACUGGUUGUUGGGUCUCUUCUGACUCAGUAACGAAGCUAACGCGUGAAGUUGACCGCCUGGGGAGUACGGCCGCAAGGUUG
rnacentral:rRNA from 1 species